GAAUUUUUGACAAUGGGGGAAACCCUGAUCAAGCAACGCCGCGUGGAUGAUGAAGUAUUUCGGUACGUAAAAUCCUUUCGACAGGGAAGAAACCUUCGGGUUGACGGUACCUGUAGAAGAAGCCCCGGCUAACUCCGUUCCAGCAGCCGCGGUAAUACGGGGGGGGCAAGCGUUGUUCGGAUUUACUGGGCGUAAAGGGCGCGUAGGCGGUUUGUUAAGUCGGAUGUGAAAACUCUGAGCUCAACUCAGAGCCUGCAUCCGAUACUGACAGGCUAGAGUGCGAGAGGGGAAAGCGGAAUUCCUGGUGUAGCGGUGAAAUGCGUAGAUAUCAGGAGGAACACCGGCGGCGAAGGCGGCUUUCUGGAUCGCAACUGACGCUGAGGCGCGAAAGCUAGGGGAGCAAACAGG
rnacentral:rRNA from 1 species